GUAGUAAAGGGACUCCUUUAUUCAUAUGCAGUUCCUGCCACAACUCUGAAUGCAUAGAUUCUUUUGACUUGACAUAAAUGCCACAGAUUUGUUUUUAUUUUAAUGAAGCCCAAUGACAGGAGAUCCACCAAUAAACUGGAGCCUUUGAAGCCUAAAAUAUUUAGCAACUGGCCCUUUAAUGUGUUGACCUUUGGACUAAAGGAACUGGGAGGACUUUGGACUGGAAGAAAGAACACAAUAUGACAACCGCUCUCAAAUAUUUGCCGGACUCAACAGGGAGCUGGAUCCAUCCAUCACCAGGGAAUCUUUACUAUGGAACACUCUCCUACCUAUGAAGAAAGAGGAAAGAAAGAACCUAAGACAUCAGAGAGCCACUUAGGAUUAAGAACGCAAGCUGCCCCCAAUAUGCAUCCUCUGUCCUUAAAGACCUGAGCUACGAACAUGGAAAAGAUUGAAAAACACUGCCUUCAGUCUAUCUUACAGGUACUUCCACAUGAAUAUAAACAGAUCUAUCACUUUGUGUUUACUGGCAACAUGGAUGGAAUUUCCAGAAUGGAACAGUGAUGGACUAUUAUCAACUUGCUCCAUAAUCCGUUUAGCGUUAAAGAGGACCACAGAAACUGCACCUCCAGGUGUCACAGGUUACAAAACUAAUAACUAAAACAAAUUAAAAAACUUAUCUCAGAUUCCCUCCUGGAGUCUACUGCCUUGUUUAUAC
rnacentral:lncRNA from 1 species